rnacentral:rRNA from 1 species
UACAGAGGUCCCGAGCGUUGUUCGGAUUCACUGGGCGUAAAGGGUGCGUAGGUGGCCUGUUAAGUUUGAUGUGAAAGCUCAGGGCUUAACCCUGAAAUGGCAUUGAAUACUAGCGUGCUGGAGGUUUGGAGGGGGGACUGGAAUUCUCGGUGUAGCAGUGAAAUGCGUAGAUAUCGAGAGGAACACCAGUGGCGAAGGCGAGUCCCUGGACAACACCUGACACUGAGGCACGAAAGCCGGGGGAGCAAACAGG